rnacentral:rRNA from 1 species
UGGGCUUCCUGAGUUGUAGACUUCGGUCUGCUACCUCUUACCCAUGUCUUUUGAGUACCUUCGUUUCCUCGGCGGGUCCGCCCGCCGAUUGGACAACAUUCAAACCCUUUGCAGUUGCAAUCAGCGUCUGAAAAAACAUAAUAGUUACAACUUUCAACAACGGAUCUCUUGGUUCUGGCAUCGAUGAAGAACGCAGCGAAAUGCGAUAAGUAGUGUGAAUUGCAGAAUUCAGUGAAUCAUCGAAUCUUUGAACGCACAUUGCGCCCCUUGGUAUUCCAUGGGGCAUGCCUGUUCGAGCGUCAUUUGUACCUUCAAGCUCUGCUUGGUGUUGGGUGUUUGUCUCGCCUCUGCGUGUAGACUCGCCUUAAAACAAUUGGCAGCCGGCGUAUUGAUUUCGGAGCGCAGUACAUCUCGCGCUUUGCACUCAUAACGACGACGUCCAAAAGUACAUUUUUACACUCUUGACCUCGGAUCAGGUAGGGAUACCCGCUGAACUUAAGCAUAUCAAUAAGGAGGAGGAAGAAUCAUUACCUAGAGUUUGUAGACUUGGUCUGCUACCUCUUACCCAUGUCUUUUGAGUACCUUCGUUUCCUCGGCGGGUCGCCGCGAUUGGGACAACAUUCAACCUUUGCGGUUGCAAUCACGUCUGAAAAAAAUAAUUAGUUACAACUUUCACACGGAUCUC